CUCAAGUGUGUUUUUACAUAUGUACGUACAUAUUGGCUUCGCCUCGGGAAACAACGGUGGUCUCUGGUACAAUCAUAAAACUUUGCAUAAACUAUCAAUUGUUUACAAUAAUAUCUUCUAUAUAAUCAUAUAUUAUUUCACCCAAUGCCAUUACGGUCACUCUAUGCAACAAUGUUUUGAAACUAUGUGGACACUGGCCCUGCCAAUUUUUCAGAUCAGAACACUUCUACAAUAAGUGCAGUAUUGUACAUUAAAUUACUAUCUACAUUAUCCCAUCACCAGUGGCAAUUAACAACAGAAUUAUGCAGUAAUUU